UUAUGCUACUAGGGGUGCGUAAUGCUGAGAAUUACCCUUAUAACCUGAUCUAGUUAAUACUAGCGUAGGGAAGUGGCUUUAUAUAGCA
rnacentral:ncRNA from 1 species